GCGAACGGGGAUCAGCCCAUUAAGUUAUGUGUGUUUUAGUGGAACGCUCUGGGAAGUGCGAACGUAGAGGGUGAUAUUCCCGUACACGAAAGGGCACACAUAAUGAUGACGAGUAGGGCGAGGCACGUGAAACCUUGUCUGAAUAUGGGGGGACCAUCCUCCAAGGCUAAAUACUCCUGACUGACCGAUAGUGAACCAGUACCGUGAGGGAAAGGCGAAAAGAACCCCUGUGAGGGGAGUGAAAUAGAUCCUGAAACCGCAUGCAUACAAGCAGUGGGAGCACCUUCGUGGUGUGACUGCGUACCUUUUGUAUAAUGGGUCAGCGACUUAUAUUCAGUAGCGAGGUUAACCGUAUAGGGGAGCCGUAGAGAAAUCGAGUCUUAAUAGGGCGUUUAGUUGCUGGGUAUAGACCCGAAACCAGGCGAUCUAUCCAUGAGCAGGUUGAAGGUUGGGUAACACUAACUGGAGGACCGAACCCACUGUCGUUGAAAAGCCAGGGGAUGACUUGUGGAUAGGGGUGAAAGGCUAAUCAAGCCUGGUGAUAGCUGGUUCUCCCCGAAAGCUAUUUAGGUAGCGCCUCGGACGAAUACCAUAGGGGGUAGAGCACUGUUUCGGCUAGGGGGUCAUCCCGACUUACCAAACCGAUGCAAACUCCGAAUACCUAUGAGUACUAUCCGGGAGACAGACUGCGGGUGCUAACGUCCGUAGUCAAGAGGAAAACAAUCCAGACCGCCAGCUAAGGCCCCAAAAUCAUAGUUAAGUGGGAAACGAUGUGGGAAGGCAUAGACAGCUAGGAGGUUGGCUUAGAAGCAGCCACCCUUUAAAGAAAGCGUAAUAGCUCACUAGUCGAGUCGGCCUGCGCGGAAGAUGUAACGGGGCUAAAACUAUGUGCCGAAGCUGCGGAUGUAUACUUUGUAUACGUGGGUAGGGAGCGUUCUGUAAGCCCGAUGAAAGGUGUGUUGGAGGAGGCAUGCUGGGAGGUAUCC
rnacentral:rRNA from 1 species